UUGACAGAGGGCUUCGAGUCAUAGGCAAAGAUGCCGUGGCAUUCGCCGGGGGAGUUUUUUGACAUAGUGUUUAGUGUCCGGUUGGGAAUGGAUGGUUCUGGAUUUCUGUGGGACAGAGUUCCCAGGGAAAGGUGUGACCUUUUGGGUGACUUGACAAUGAGUAGUUUUAAGUUAGUCUGUGAGACUGGAUUACUUAGUUAACCGACUUAGUUGUUACUGUAAAUAAACGUUAUGUUAUGAUGCAA